GAACGCUGGCGGCGUGCCUAAUACAUGCAAGUCGUACGCUUCUUUUUCCACCGGAGCUUGCUCCACCGGAAAAAGAGGAGUGGCGAACGGGUGAGUAACACGUGGGUAACCUGCCCAUCAGAAGGGGAUAACACUUGGAAACAGGUGCUAAUACCGUAUAACAAUCGAAACCGCAUGGUUUUGAUUUGAAAGGCGCUUUCGGGUGUCGCUGAUGGAUGGACCCGCGGUGCAUUAGCUAGUUGGUGAGGUAACGGCUCACCAAGGCCACGAUGCAUAGCCGACCUGAGAGGGUGAUCGGCCACAUUGGGACUGAGACACGGCCCAAACUCCUACGGGAGGCAGCAGUAGGGAAUCUUCGGCAAUGGACGAAAGUCUGACCGAGCAACGCCGCGUGAGUGAAGAAGGUUUUCGGAUCGUAAAACUCUGUUGUUAGAGAAGAACAAGGAUGAGAGUAACUGUUCAUCCCUUGACGGUAUCUAACCAGAAAGCCACGGCUAACUACGUGCCAGCAGCCGCGGUAAUACGUAGGUGGCAAGCGUUGUCCGGAUUUAUUGGGCGUAAAGCGAGCGCAGGCGGUUUCUUAAGUCUGAUGUGAAAGCCCCCGGCUCAACCGGGGAGGGUCAUUGGAAACUGGGAGACUUGAGUGCAGAAGAGGAGAGUGGAAUUCCAUGUGUAGCGGUGAAAUGCGUAGAUAUAUGGAGGAACACCAGUGGCGAAGGCGGCUCUCUGGUCUGUAACUGACGCUGAGGCUCGAAAGCGUGGGGAGCAAACAGGAUUAGAUACCCUGGUAGUCCACGCCGUAAACGAUGAGUGCUAAGUGUUGGAGGGUUUCCGCCCUUCAGUGCUGCAGCUAACGCAUUAAGCACUCCGCCUGGGGAGUACGACCGCAAGGU
rnacentral:rRNA from 1 species